UUUAUCGGAUGUAACUCGAUAAAAAUUGAGUAUUGGAACAGUGAACACUAAACACUUGGUCUUAUUGUCAUAGCAACGCUUAAAACGGUUUCCAUGGUGUUUAAUUGAAUUUUUAUUACAUGCAGGCUGCAGCCGCGAAUUGAAUCGAAUUACCUAUGGAAAGUAAGACAAGAAUUAGCAUUACUAUUUUUACUAUUGUGUCAUUUUAACAACACUUUAGUUACUGAUUCCUGAGGAAACUCCAAUGGAAGAGGGCAUUGACUUUUAAUAAGCUGGCCGGUUUUGAUAUGAGAGGAGGGCGGAUCAAGAGUGCUAUAUUCAGAGCAGCUGCACGUGCUGCACUUGAAGAAGCUUUCUUAAAGAAGAGGAGAGCCUAUUAGAAACACUGUUACUCUUUGAAGACUCUAUUAGAUGAGGCCCUGGCUCUUUUUAACCAAAUAUGGAAACUCAUCAGAGUAAUAUCGAAAUAUGUAUCGUCCUCGUUAACUUGCUGUGUGCUGUCCUCCAUUAGUCACACCAGUCUCACAUGACUAACAGAACCAAAUGGCAUCAGCAGCACCACUCAUUGAUGAUCAUCUGUCUAGUGAUGUCAAGGCAUUAGUGUUAAAGUGUUGGGUGAAAGUGGCCAAGAAAUGUUCAUCAGAGUUAAAUUUGUUACUCAAUGUCUUAAAGAAACUGUUGAGGUUGUAUACUCUCCCAGUCACACCCUCCGAAUGGAGUGCUUGAAUCUGAUUGGUCGAUUAAGCCACAGGGCCCCCAGUCAUGAAGUCCUGUUGCUCUUAAUUGCUAAGUUUUGUAAUGACAUUGAUCCAAGAGUUUGUAGAGAAGCAAUGGAAGCACUAGUAAGUACAAAUACAUGUACAUGUACAUAUUCUUUCCUACUUAUGCAUGUACAUGUACUUGUCUCUCUGUUUCUGUCUCUCUUUUUAAUUGUACACAAUUAUACAUACGGUAUACCCUUUCUCAAUAAGACUUACCAUAGGGCACCUUUUUUUUAGGGCUAUAAAUUUCGUGGAUUUUGCGAUUUUUUUUAACGAUUCGUGAAAAUCAAAUUCAUA